CUGGCGGCGUGCUUAACACAUGCAAGUCGAGCGAUGCACCUUGACGGAUUUCUUCGGAUUGAAGCCUUGGUGACUGAGCGGCGGACGGGUGAGUAACGCGUGGGUAACCUGCCUCAUACAGGGGGAUAACAGUUGGAAACGGCUGCUAAUACCGCAUAAGCGCACAGUACCGCAUGGUACGGUGUGAAAAACUCCGGUGGUAUGAGAUGGACCCGCGUCUGAUUAGGUAGUUGGUGGGGUAACGGCCUACCAAGCCGACGAUCAGUAGCCGACCUGAGAGGGUGACCGGCCACAUUGGGACUGAGACACGGCCCAAACUCCUACGGGAGGCAGCAGUGGGGAAUAUUGCACAAUGGGGGAAACCCUGAUGCAGCGACGCCGCGUGAGCGAUGAAGUAUUUCGGUAUGUAAAGCUCUAUCAGCAGGGAAGAAAAUGACGGUACCUGACUAAGAAGCCCCGGCUAACUACGUGCCAGCAGCCGCGGUAAUACGUAGGGGGCAAGCGUUAUCCGGAUUUACUGGGUGUAAAGGGAGCGUAGACGGCAUGGCAAGCCAGAUGUGAAAGCCCGGGGCUCAACCCCGGGACUGCAUUUGGAACUGUCAGGCUAGAGUGUCGGAGAGGAAAGCGGAAUUCCUAGUGUAGCGGUGAAAUGCGUAGAUAUUAGGAGGAACACCAGUGGCGAAGGCGGCUUUCUGGACGAUGACUGACGUUGAGGCUCGAAAGCGUGGGGAGCAAACAGGAUUAGAUACCCUGGUAGUACACGCCGUAAUCGAUGAAUACUAGGUGUCGGGUGGCAAAGCCAUUCGGUCCUGCAGCAAACGCAAUAAGUACUC
rnacentral:rRNA from 1 species